rnacentral:lncRNA from 1 species
AAAAAGGGUUGUAUUGUAUUGACGGAACUGUUGAGUUCUACAGGAAGUAGGUCGAACGUGUUUUCAUGUGACACUCGACACAACAACAGCGGCGUUAGCUCUGGUGCUAAAGCUAAAGCUAAAAACAAGUGUGAAAAUGUCUAAAAGGAGCCAGACUCUGAGAGCUUUGGUGACUGAGCGGCUGACUGCGGCUGCGGAGGAGAUCUUUGAGCUGGUGGAGAGAACAAUAGCGGAGUAUGAGGAGGAACUGUGUCGCUCCAAAGAGGAGAACCAGAGGAGACAGGAGGAGAACCAGAGGAGACAGCAGCUCCACAGGACAGACGUCCAGGUGCAGACGGAGACGGAGACCUCAGAUCCGCAGGAGGGAGCGUUGGAACCUCCGCAGUUCGAGGAGCGUCCUGACCUCCUCUCGACCCAGACGUUCUACUGUCCCGUAAAAACGGAAUCAGCAGAGCCGCAAACGGGCGUCGACGUGGAGCCUCCGGGCGAGAGCUCCGCCCAAUCGCUCCAAGCAGAGGCCGGCGCAGAGCGGUACAGCCCCGUCCAGUCGAAGCCGUGCGAGUACGAAGGUCCGUCGCGGCGCCGGCGGAGCUCGCUGACGGGACGGACGUGGCUAAGAAACACGAGUGCUGCUUCUGCGGGCGGAGGUUCCGGGAGGAGCGGAACCUGCAGAGACACAUCGCGGUGCACACGCGGCACAAACCCUUCGUCUGCGCCGUGUGCUCGCGGAGCUUCUCACAGGAGGAGACGCUGCGGCUGCACAUGGCUCUGCAUGGAGAGGGCGGCGCGUCCCCGGCGUCCCGCGGCCUCCGGGCCUCACAGGUUUCCUCCGCGGGGCCGGCCCGAGUGGCUCCGUUCAGCUGCGCGCUCUGCGAUAAGCGCUUCACACGGACGUUCUCGCUGCAGUCGCACAUGCUGACCCACACGGGGGAGAAGCCGUUCCCCUGCCCGCUCUGCAGCACCAGGUUCAACCGCAAGUCCAACCUAAACCGACACCUCAAGGUCCACGCGCAGAGAUACCACAGCGCCGUGUAGCCUCGCGCUUUUGUUUUAGCGGCAGAGGCUGUGAAGGGGAGGAGACACUGCUCUGGAGCCUUAUUUAUAGAGGUCGACCGAUAGAUGGGAGCAACGUCUACGUCACAUCAGUGGCGCUAAAAGGUUAACGCCCCUUAUUGUGGUUUUCUUUGAUUUAUUUAAUUAUCGAACGUGAAAAGGAAGCCAUGGAAGUGACCUGUUGUUUCAGAUCAUUCACAGAGAAGACGGUUAACGUUUUAAACUGAGCUGCUAAACCCACUGUGAUCAUGACUUGUCUGUGACAUUUGCCUGUGGAACUUUUUCACUGGAUGCUUUAUAAUGUCACUACAGCUUCAGCUUCUAGUCUGUUGCUUUUAUAUUAUCAUUAAAUUAAAAUCAUACAGCCUACGAUGUAGUUUUGUAGCUUAUGAGAGCAAAUGGUUCAUUCAGCAGCUAACCUACUAGCUGCUAAUGCUAACGUUAAUGUGCGUUUUAAAACCGAGAGAAUCAUUAAUUAGGCCUAAUGCUGAACAGGUUUGAUGAGUUUGCAUAAUUACCGAUUAAAGACGUUACACAAAGUGCAUAAUACACGGCCACCAGGGGGAGCUGUUUCCUCAGUAAUGAGCUCUGACAUGGCCAUAACAGAUGCUAGUGAUCGAUAAACUCGCUCAUAUAAGUGUCCACAAAAAAUAAAAAAUCUUCCAAUCGUCUUCUGACACUUGAUGUGUCUGUGAUCAAGAACGGACAUUGUCCUGUAGUUCUGACACUCGUUUGGAAUAUUUUAUCCUCCGAACGAGAAAUAGUCCCUUUUUCACAUACACACUAGGGCUGCAACUAACGAUUAUUUUGUAAUCGAUUAAUCUAUCGAUUAUUUUUACGAUUAAUCGAGUAAUCGCUUAGCUGUGAAUUGUGCAGAAAAUUUUUAUUUUUUCAUUUUUUUAUCACAAAAAGCUAAAGUGGCAACACUUGAGGACGUAUUGAUGACGUAAACUUAAAGUAAAUGUUUGUUGGAGGCUCUUGGUGCUAAUUCUGCUUCUGAUUGGAUGAGACAGACAGAUAUUGAUGAAAUUUACAAUGUACAAAACACUACAGACCCUAACUAUAAAAACAAAGUAGGUUUUCAUCAAAAAUAUUACAUUUUCAUGUCAUUUUUGCUCCAUUGUGUGAACCAGAAAACGAUUAAUCGUUUACUAAAAAAAGUUGUCGACUAUUUCAAUAAUCGAUUAGUCGUCGAUUAAUCGAUUAGUUGUUUCAGCCCUAAUACACACUAAUGCAAUUUUUAACUCUCGAUUCCCCCAAAAGGGGGCGCUGCCCAGUAAAAGUUCCCGGAUGUUGCUCCCAUCUAUAUGGGUUUUUUCUAAAGCCGAGGCCGAUAGGCUCCAAAUGUCUGAUCUAUAAUCCUGUAAAAACAUAAAUACUUGGCCGCUCCAGCAGUGGCUGGUUUUAUUUUAUUACUUUAGGUGAUUCAAUCAUAGUUUCUGUCCCAGUGUUGAUUAGCUGCCGUUAGCAGCUAGCAACAGUAUGCUAAUGCUGCAUUUUGUGCGGCGAUCAAAAAUACAAUUGUGGAUGUUAAAACUAACUCAGUGAUUGAAUUCUCCAGGUUCUGAGCUUCACAGUGACAUCGAGCAUGUCCAUAUUCACUGAGGUUUAGUGAAACUUAUAUACCAUAUUUUCCGGACUAUAAGUCGCACUUUUUUUCAUAGUCUUGUACUCCGGAGCGACUAAUAUGUGAUUAUUAUUUUUUAAUCCAAAUAUAUAAUGUCACAUGCCGCUAGAGGGCGCUGCAGGCUAAUCGAGCAGCAGAAAGAAAGUUUGUCGUGAGCGAGAAAGCGGAGGAUACUCUUACAAACAAAACUAAUCACAGGCUAAAAGCUCGAUGGCCACAGCUAGAGGAACGAGUUCGCAAAUGAGAGCUUGGAAAACGUGCUUCUGGUAUGUUCUUUAUGCUAUAGUUUUAUCUGAAGUGUUUAUGUGGCAUUAACAAACCAGACGCCUGUUCAGCCUGUUGUUUUUCUUCAUUAUGCAAUUUUUGGCUGGUGUAUCUUGUACUCUGGAGCGACUUAUUUUAUUUGAAUUGACCUUUAUUUAACCAGGAAAGUCCCUCUGAGAUUUGCUCUUUCAAAAAAACAGGAAGUCUCUAUCACGUUCUGUUCCGGAGAUAUCGGUGCUAGAUCGGCCGAUAACCGAUAUUUAUAUUUAUAUUAUAUUAUAUUUUAUAAAGCUCGCUAAUAGGGGCGUAACGGUACAUGUAAAGUAGACAUUAAAGAGACAUAAAUGGGUCUCUUUGAAUUAUUUUUAAUACUCCGUAUGUUUUAAACAAUACAAUUUUGCAAGUUUAUUUUAUUGCCCUGGAAGUAGUUGAGCCGACAUGUCAUUCUAGUGAACUGUUCCAGCCGUACCUGCUGAGCACAAAAUGAGGUCAAACUUUGAAACGUGGUAUUUAUAAACAGCAAACUGUCGCUGCUGUAUGAGGUGUUAGGUUAAAGCUAAUACAGACAAAGGAUAUUUUUAUAUUUCACUAGAGCUGUGUGUCCCCAAACAUGAAGUAAACAUGUUCAGAUCCAGUAUCGUUGAUUAUUCACACAAACUAAUGAUGAAGUGUAAGUUGUUUACGUUGUACAUGUUUUGUUUUGGUUCUGUCUGUGAGGAAACACUGAACUUUGAUAUUAAAUUUACUAAAACAAGUCCAGACUGUGAAAUGUUUUCAUUAUCAGCCAAAGUCGGGUUUUCUUUUGUGUCGAGGAUCGUCACUUUUCGAGUUUUAUGAACUUUCGCACUACAGUCGCUCACUGUUCUGUCAACAACAAAAACAAACACUGAGAGGUUUUUCAGGCGAUAAAACGGGAACACUGGGAUUAUUAUUGUUUUUUUGUAUUUUCGUUGUUGGUUGUAUUGUGUCCCUCU